rnacentral:rRNA from 1 species
UACGUAGGUGGCAAGCGUUGUCCGGAAUUAUUGGGCGUAAAGAGCAUGUAGGCGGGCUUUUAAGUCCGGCGUGAAAAUGCGGGGCUCAACCCCGUAUGGCGUUGGAAACUGGAAGGCUUGAGUGCAGGAGAGGAAAGGGGAAUUCCCAGUGUAGCGGUGAAAUGCGUAGAUAUUGGGAGGAACACCAGUGGCGAAGGCGCCUUUCUGGACUGUGUCUGACGCUCAGAUGCGAAAGCCAGGGGAGCAAACGGG